AUGUCUGGAAGACUGUGCUGCCAAGACCACUUUAGCUGGCUCUAAGUGAGGUCUUCCGAACCAAAAAGAGCAUAUACAGCUCUUCCUAAAUUUCAAGGUGCUUGUGUCUAAAAUGAAACUGAACCCUACCUGAGCAAGGGAUGUAUAUAAUGUAAAAACAACGCAGUGACUCCCGGAGGCAGACCAAACAAAACUAGAGUGACCCAGGAAAAGGUAACCAGGAUGCAUGGAAACAGUAGCUCAGCUCGGUUCAAGACGUAUUCUGAAGCCACCUUUCUACAAAGGCCAGUAGACACAGAAUCCAUUGGAUCCCAUAGCCCUCAUUGAUU
rnacentral:lncRNA from 1 species